UAAAGCUCUUUUACCCGGGAUGAUAAUGACAGUACCGGGAGAAUAAGCUCCGGCUAACUCCGUGCCAGCAGCCGCGGUAAUACGGAGGGAGCUAGCGUUAUUCGGAAUUACUGGGCGUAAAGCGCACGUAGGCGGCUUUGUAAGUUAGAGGUGAAAGCCUGGAGCUCAACUCCAGAAUUGCCUUUAAGACUGCAUCGCUUGAAUCCAGGAGAGGUGAGUGGAAUUCCGAGUGUAGAGGUGAAAUUCGUAGAUAUUCGGAAGAACACCAGUGGCGAAGGCGGCUCACUGGACUGGUAUUGACGCUGAAGUGCGAAAGCGUGGGGAGCAAACAGGAUUAGAUACCCUGGUAGUCCACGCCGUAAACGAUGAUAACUAGCUGUCGGGGCUCUUAGAGCUUCGGUGGCGCAGCUAACGCAUUAAGUUAUCCGCCUGGGGAGUACGGCCGCAAGGUUAAAACUCAAAGGAAUUGACGGGGGCCUGCACAAGCGGUGGAGCAUGUGGUUU
rnacentral:rRNA from 1 species